UUUUAUUUUUUACCUCAUAAUAAUUUAAAAAAAAAAAUUCAAGAUCUGAAGAACAACAAUAGCUCCGCUCAGAAUUAGUAAAUAUAGCUAAAAUUAUUCAACAAUAGUCCUAAAAAUUUUCAAACAAAUUCUUUCUUGCAAAUUUCAUCUCGUCUUCAAUUAAUUAAAGAAGAGGCAAUUAAUCAACUUGAGCCUCUUCUUCUUUAAUUAAUUUGAGCAACCAGAGUAUGUUAUGCCUAUUCUUCAAAAUGCAACAAUAGUCACAAAGGGAAGGCAAACAAUUUCAAGCAAUAGUCCCAACAAUAGCUUAAAUCUUUGAGAACUUUCAUCAAACAGCUUCAGAGUGUAUUGAUAGUGGAUGAUGGGAACAGAAACUUGCCCAUUGAGCCUCUUCCUCCAUCAUCAUCAGCUACCCAAAGAGAUACAACAGUAGCAGCCAUUGAGAACCAUGAAGAAACCCAGCUUACCGCUGCAAUCACCGACGCCUCACGAGAAGACCCAUCAAUCGCUGCCAUCAAUGACACCUAACCAUGAAGAGCUCCCCUUCACCAUUAAGAACCACAAAGAAACCUAGCUUACCACUGCCAUCACACGUCAUAUAGAGAUCCUUCACAAGCCACCACGAACCCAUCAACCACCAUUGCAUGUCGUGAAGUAAUCCACAGUAUCGCCAUCACUAUCAGCAAAAAGUCCUCGAGUGAGUGAUGAGGCUGCUGAACGAAAGGCUAAGAUUGAGUGAAUGGAAAAAGUAGGGAUUUGAUAUUGAAUGGGCUUUCAAGAAUUG
rnacentral:misc_RNA from 1 species